rnacentral:misc_RNA from 1 species
AACCUUAUGGACCUGCGGGCGUAUACCUGCGGAGGGAUCAUUACCGAGUUUACAACUCCCAAACCCCUGUGAACAUACCUAUACGUUGCCUCGGCGGAUCAGCCCGCGCCCUGUAAAAAGGGACGGCCCGCCCGAGGACCCUAAACUCUGUUUUUAGUGGAACUUCUGAGUAAAACAAACAAAUAAAUCAAAACUUUCAACAACGGAUCU